GAUGAACGCUGGCGGCGUGCCUAAUACAUGCAAGUCGAACGCGGGAAAUCUAGCUUGCUAGAUUGAAGGAGUGGCGAACGGGUGAGUAAUACAUAAGCAACCUACCCACGAAGACUGGGAUAAUCUCUGGAAACGGGGACUAAUACCGGAUAGGUAAUCGGAAGGCAUCUUCUGAUUAUUAAAGGUUAAAAACACUGGUGGAUGGGCUUAUGGCGCAUUAGUUAGUUGGUGAGGUAACGGCCCACCAAGACGAUGAUGCGUAGCCGGCCUGAGAGGGUGAACGGCCACAUUGGGACUGAGACACGGCCCAGACUCCUACGGGAGGCAGCAGUAGGGAAUUUUCGGCAAUGGGGGAAACCCUGACCGAGCAACGCCGCGUGAGUGAUGACGGCCUUCGGGUUGUAAAGCUCUGUUGUAAGGGAAGAACGGUAGAUAGAGAAUAUCUAAAUGACGGUACCUUACCAGAAAGCCACGGCUAACUACGUG
rnacentral:rRNA from 1 species